AUUGAACGCUGGCGGCAGGCCUAACACAUGCAAGUCGAACGAGUGGCGGACGGGUGAGUAAUGUCUGGGAAACUGCCUGAUGGAGGGGGAUAACUACUGGAAACGGUAGCUAAUACCGCAUACCAUCAGAUGUGCCAAUAUGGGAUUAGCUAGUUGGUGGGGUAACGGCUCACCAGGGAGACGAUCCCUAGCUGGUCUGAAAGGAUGACCAGCCACACUGGAAUGGAGACACGGUCCAGACUCCUACGGGAGGCAGCAGUGGGGAAUAUUGCCCAAUGGGCGCAAGCCUGAUGCAGCCAUGCCGCGUGUAUGAAGAAGGCCUUCGGUUUGUAAAGUACUUUCAGCGGGGAGGCGUUACCCGCAGAAGAAGCACCGGCUAACUCCGUGCCAGCAGCCGCGGUAAUUC
rnacentral:rRNA from 1 species